CAUAUGCACGCGUGGUAAUGAGGGAAGCGGCAGAUUUGGAGUUCAACACCACAUAGGCGAAAUGCGGCAAAGCAUUUGGUAACGCGCAUUUCGGUGCAGGCACCGGAAACAUAUUGUUCAAUCUUCAAUGCUCUGGUUCAGAAUUCGACAUAGACCAGUGUAGCGCUAGUGGAUGGGGUACAACCGGCUGUUCUCAUGUGGAGGAUGUGGGCGUGAGAUGUG